UGCAGUCGAGCGAACUGAUUAGAAGCUUGCUUCUAUGACGUUAGCGGCGGACGGGUGAGUAACACGUGGGCAACCUGCCUGUAAGACUGGGAUAACUUCGGGAAACCGAAGCUAAUACCGGAUAGGAUCUUCUCCUUCAUGGGAGAUGAUUGAAAGAUGGUUUCGGCUAUCACUUACAGAUGGGCCCGCGGUGCAUUAGCUAGUUGGUGAGGUAACGGCUCACCAAGGCAACGAUGCAUAGCCGACCUGAGAGGGUGAUCGGCCACACUGGGACUGAGACACGGCCCAGACUCCUACGGGAGGCAGCAGUAGGGAAUCUUCCGCAAUGGACGAAAGUCUGACGGAGCAACGCCGCGUGAGUGAUGAAGGCUUUCGGGUCGUAAAACUCUGUUGUUAGGGAAGAACAAGUACGAGAGUAACUGCUCGUACCUUGACGGUACCUAACCAGAAAGCCACGGCUAACUACGUGCCAGCAGCCGCGGUAAUACGUAGGUGGCAAGCGUUAUCCGGAAUUAUUGGGCGUAAAGCGCGCGCAGGCGGUUUCUUAAGUCUGAUGUGAAAGCCCACGGCUCAACCGUGGAGGGUCAUUGGAAACUGGGGAACUUGAGUGCAGAAGAGAAAAGCGGAAUUCCACGUGUAGCGGUGAAAUGCGUAGAGAUGUGGAGGAACACCAGUGGCGAAGGCGGCUUUUUGGUCUGUAACUGACGCUGAGGCGCGAAAGC
rnacentral:rRNA from 2 species